AUCGGUGUUUCUUUUCUUGUUUCC
rnacentral:siRNA from 1 species